rnacentral:lncRNA from 1 species
GGAGGGAAAGUUGAGAGCUAGGGUGCAAAGCUGGAAGCAUGAGCCAGUCCACCCCACAUUGCUCCGGGCCUCUCUGGGAACCCAGUCUUCUGUGUGUCUGGCUCUAGAAUCAGGGACCAUGUCCUGGCUCCAGGUUGCCCUAUGACAACUGCCCUAUGCCCAGCUUCUCCUUUCCCCAAAGGUCUGAUUUGACAGCCUGGCACAUAGUAGGGCUUGAUAAAUGUUUACUAAGUGGAAGAAACAUGCAACGUGACAGUGUUUCUUCAGGGCAGGAGAGUAGAGUGUCUACUGAACGUGCUCUGGCAUUGACUGCCUGCGUCUAAAUCCUGGCUCUGCCACUAAUGGGCUGUGUGACCUUGGACAAGUUGCUGAACUUCUCUAUGCCUUAGUCUUCUGACUUCUAAAGUAGUGAUAAUAAUGGUAACUUCCUCUGAGGUCACGGUGAGCAUGGCAAGAAUUGAUCAGUGUAAAGCACUCGGAAGAGCGCCGGCACAGAGGAAGGACACGCUAAAUGCUCUGAGUGGAUUUUGCAAUGUCACACCGGUGGCCAGUGGGGGAGGGCCUAUGGCGGGGAGGGGGGCGCAGUGGGAUUUCAUGGUCCAGAAAAGUGUGAGGGAGGAACAGGGUUCAUUGAGCCCCCACUAUGUGGCCUGCAUGUCUGUGACAACUGGCAAUCUGCAUCAGGCCCUCACGACUACCCUGCAAGGUAGGCAUUACCAUGUUCCUUUGCAAAGGAAGACACUAAGGCUCACAGAGGUCAGGGGAUCUGCUGGAGCGAGGCGGGACCCAUCCCACUUCUGGCCCAGUCCUGGAAUGGGAUGUUGUGGCCACUGCCCUCACUCAGCUGCUCCCAGGACUGGUGUUGGAAAACAACCCGGGUGGGGCCAUGUGAUGGGUGCAGGGCGGGCUCUGGGGAGCUGCCGCUGAAAAUCAGAGGGAGGAGGAGGGCAAGGAAGGACUGGUCAGCCCUGGGAGUGAUUUGUACCACUUAGCAAUCACUUACUCUGCACUUGGGCAUGUGAUGUGCAUGAUCCCAUUUUUUCCUCAUUACAGUUUUAUGAGGUAAGGGCUAUUGUGAGCCCCACCUAGAGAUGAUGAGGAUAGGGACCAGAGAGGCUAAGUAAUGCGCCCAAGGUGACACAGGCAGAAAGUGGUACAGAGUCCAGGGUUGAAGCCUCUGCAGCAGGAAGAUGGGGGUUCUUGAGACUCAUGAAGACCUGGGGUCUGAGGAGCAGGACAGGGGCCUCCAGAGGGCUGUGGGCAAUGUCCCCCAUGGCUAGAUCCAUCUUCAGGUCCCUUUUACUCUUUGAGGAGCACAGCUCAGCUGCCAGGCCUUGAGUCCUUUCUCACCCCAUGCAAAGCCCUGUGCGUGCGAGCUGAGUGAACACUCACCCAAACCAGGCCCCAGACAGAGUUGGAGGAGUGGCCGGCCCCGGGGUCCUCAGGGGACUGAGGAAGGGAACAAUGGUGCUAAUUCCUUCCUGGGUACACUGAGUCAGCCCCUCGGCCCCACCUCAUCUCUAUUGCCCUGUGCGUGCUCCUUCUGGUAGAGGAAGGGUCAGCCUCCCUGUGCAAGCCCCAGGGGCUUCAGAGAUGAAAGGGACUAAUCAGACUCAGGAACACCCACCCACAGCUCCUCUGUGCUGGGCACCUUGUUUCAUUACAUCUUCCUGCUCUCCUGCCAGGGAGCAAAUCUGGUCCCCCAUUUUGCAGAUGGAGAGAAGGAGCACCUGGCUGGAGCAGUUAGUGGUGAAGCCAGGACUUGACGCUGGGUUUCCCAGACCCCAUCCCCCGUCCUGUGUCGCCAUCAUCAUCAUCAUCACCACGACCACCACCACCAUCAUCUGCAUUCCACCUGCAAAGCCCAGUGAAGCCCUCAGCCCGGGGUUUCUGUUUCUACUGGUUAUCACACUUGCCUCAACAGGGGUCUGGUGAUGUAGGUACUAUCGCCAUCGUGUCCACUUUGCAGAUGAGGAAACUGAGGUCCAAAACUGUCACUAGGAGGUGACAGAGCUGAGAUCAAGAGCCACGUCUUGCCACCCAAACACAAGGGCUUCGCCAGUGUGUUCUUUUCCCACAGUUGAGAAGGAGCCGAGUGGUGCAGACAGGCGGUGAGAGCCUAGGGGCUCAGAGGAGGCAGGGCUGUGGCUGGCGGUGCAGCCGGGGAAGAUUCAGAGACCGGAGGGGCUGGGGCUGGGCCUGGGGGGCUGCGGACAGACAUGGGGGGAUCUGGAUCCGAGUUGAGCAAAGGGAGCCCAAAGCCAGAGGCUGGGGACCAGGGUGAGCCGGGGACCUGGAGCCAACCGGACCUGAGUGGGAGCCGCUUCUGCUGUGUGACCCCCAUUUUCAUCCCCACUCCCCAACCCCCAGCCUGUGAUUUUUCAGCUGAGAAGAGAAAUAAUAACCCUGUUUGUUGCUGUGGUUGGUGCUUAAUAAAUACUUGUUAAAUAAACAAAGGGUUGCAGUGACGCUUCAGUGAGACAGACCAGGCGGUGCCUGGCAGGGAGCUGACACUUCCAGAGGGUUCCUUCCCCGAGAGCAGCCACAGAGCAGGACAACAGGUUCAGCUGGCCCCAGGGCUGAGCAGUGUGACCUCGGGCAAGUCACUUCACCUCCCCUAUUGUCCCAUCCAGUGACCAUGACAUGCAUCAAGGCCCUACAGUCUGGCUUGGUGUCCCUACAUGUGGCCUUCUGCCCCUUUUCCUGCCUUCUAGAAAGCCUGCAUGGCCCCGGUCUUAGGAAGGGCUGCCCCUGUGGGCUAGAGGCCAGGGUGACAUGCCCCUGCAGCCACUAGUGAUUUUCCCAUGAGUGGGGCAGGUGCACCCAGGGAGAUUUGACCUCACAGCCUGCCAGGGUUGCUGGAGUCCACUGGGGCUGCUGUCACUUUAUCAGCUUUUCUUGUAUGAAGGGUGUUAUGGGCAAGGAGGGGGCAUUUGGUGUCACCAAAUCAGAAGGAAAACAUAGUGACAGGCGUGGGGUCUUUUCCUGCCUCCUCUGGACCCCUGGCAGGCAGGGCCUCCAGCCCCACUCAGGGAGGAGCAGGUUAGCAAUGGUGCCAGCAAGUUGACAGCCCUGCUGGUCACAUUCACUAUCUCCUUGAGGCCGGAAUGUCCUUGGCUAGCUGCUGCCUCCCUGUGCCACAGCCCUGCUCUUGGCCUCAGUUUCUCUAGUUAUCCAGUGAAGUCUGGACUAGGGGCUCCAGAUUUUGGACAUUUACAGCACCGUAAAA